GGAAAUAGCUUGCUAUUUUGCUGACGAGUGGCGCACGGGUGCGUAACGCGUAUACAAUCUACCUCUUGCUGAGGGAUAGCCCAGAGAAAUUUGGAUUAAUACCUCAUGGUAUUAUAGAUAGGCAUCUAUUUAUAAUUAAAGGUUACGGCGAGAGAUGAGUAUGCGUCCCAUUAGCUAGUUGGCGAGGUAACGGCUCACCAAGGCAACGAUGGGUAGGGGUCCUGAGAGGGAGAUCCCCCACACUGGUACUGAGACACGGACCAGACUCCUACGGGAGGCAGCAGUGAGGAAUAUUGGACAAUGGGCGGGAGCCUGAUCCAGCCAUGCCGCGUGCAGGAAGACUGCCCUAUGGGUUGUAAACUGCUUUUAUACAGGAAGAAUAAGCCUUACGUGUAAGGUGAUGACGGUACUGUAAGAAUAAGGACCGGCUAACUCCGUGCCAGCAGCCGCGGUAAU
rnacentral:rRNA from 1 species